GUGUGUGUACUACAAACAUUUAUGUACGCGCGCGUGUGUGCAGCGCAGCGUCUUGAUUUCAGCGUGCCUCCUGUAAUUAUUUGAAUACGCGCAGAAAGGAUAACGCGCUGCCAUAGAUAUACCAAGAAGAUACAUGAACGCCAUUGGGAAGAUAAACAAAAAAACAGAGGCAAUAAAAUAAAGAAAAACCAAAAUUGUGAGCUAGAGAAAUGCGAAGGAUGGCCACUUGAAUUGGAAAAUUAUAGAGGUAAAAUAUAAAGAGAAAAAAAA